GUAAGGAAUAUUGGACAAUGGACGCAAGUCUGAUCCAGCCAUGCCGCGUGAAGGAUUAAGGUCCUCUGGAUUGUAAACUUCUUUUAUAAGGGACGAAAAAAGGCUUUUCUAAGUCGUCUGACGGUACCUUAUGAAUAAGCACCGGCUAACUCCGUGCCAGCAGCCGCGGUAAUACGGAGGGUGCAAGCGUUAUCCGGAUUCACUGGGUUUAAAGGGUGCGUAGGCGGGCAGGUAAGUCAGUGGUGAAAUCCUAGAGCUUAACUCUAGAACUACCAUUGAUACUAACUGUCUUGAAUAUUGUGGAGGUAAGCGGAAUAUGUCAUGUAGCGGUGAAAAGCUUAGAUAUGACAUAGAACACCUAUUGCGAAGGCAGCUUACUACGCAUAUAUUGACGCUGAGGCACGAAAGCGUGGGGAUCAAACAGGAUUAGAAACCCCGGUAGUCC
rnacentral:rRNA from 1 species